UACGGGGGGGGCAAGCGUUGUCCGGAAUCACUGGGCGUAAAGGGCGCGUAGGCGGCGCGGGAAGGCGGCGGUGAAAGUCCGGGGCUCAACCCCGGAUCGGCCGUGGCGACUCCCGCGCUGGAGCACAGUAGAGGCGGGUGGAAUUCCGGGUGUAGCGGUGGAAUGCGUAGAGAUCCGGAAGAACACCGGUGGCGAAGGCGGCCCGCUGGGCUGUGGCUGACGCUGAGGCGCGACAGCGUGGGGAGCAAACAGG
rnacentral:rRNA from 1 species